CGACCGGCGCACGGGUGAGUAACGCGUAUCCAACCUGCCUUACACUCUUGGACAGCCUUCUGAAAGGGAGAUUAACACAAGAUGUUAUCAUGAGUAAGCAUUUUCACAUGAUUAAAGGUUUACCGGUGUAAGAUGGGGAUGCGUUCCAUUAGAUAGUAGGCGGGGUAACGGCCCACCUAGUCUUCGAUGGAUAGGGGUUCUGAGAGGAAGGUCCCCCACAUUGGAACUGAGACACGGUCCAA
rnacentral:rRNA from 1 species